UACCUCUCAGGGUCGCACCUGGAGAGUUUCCAUUACUCUCCCAGUCUCGCUACGGGAGGGAGAGUCGAGCAGAGGCCUACCCAUUCCAUUCUUAGUUUGGCCAGUGGCUAGCCAGUGGAAGACAAUCUGCUAUAAGU